AGGACGAACGCUGGCGGCGUGCUUAACACAUGCAAGUCGAACGGUAAGGCCUUUCGGGGUACACGAGUGGCGAACGGGUGAGUAACACGUGGGCAACCUGCCCCUCACACUGGGAUAACCUCGGGAAACCGGGGCUAAUACCGGAUACGACCUCGAGCGGCAUCUCUUGAGGUGGAAAGCUCCGACGGUGAGGGAUGGGCCCGCGGCCUAUCAGCUUGUUGGUGGGGUAAUGGCCUACCAAGGCGACGACGGGUA
rnacentral:rRNA from 1 species